AGAAAUGUUAAAAUUAUCGGCGGGUAUUUACGGAAGGCCUAUAGGCCAUCGGUAAUUUUUUUUUUCAAAGGAUCUUCCGAAGGAUGUGGGCCGCCGGUAAAGGGCUCAAGAAAUUGGAUUAAACAUUUUUGGGGUUUAGUUUCCCUCUUUGAAUGAAACAUUCCUUUUUUAGCGUUUUUCUCUGUAUCCCUAUUGAGCACCUUUCUUCCUUCACAAAAGCUCCCUUAUGCCGUCUGCUUCAUUUGUUCAGUUCUCGUCACUUAUCAGAGAGCCUCUUACCGACCAUUGUGGUUGGUCGUCUAUUCCGCCAUCGUUUGCGGGCACUGGCUAUUGUAAGGUCAUUCACAGAAGAGGUGUAGGGUCUUUGUUGAGGGAUUAAGGUCGAGGGUCCCUGGUAGGGUUUUGUCUAUUGUCGUUAUCUACUAUUCUUGUUAUCAUCUCAAGAGGUUAGGCCCUGUUUCUGGCAACUUUGGGUUUGGUCGUGGGUUAGUUUUGUUGCUUUGAUUCGUUUGUGUUGUAUACUAUAAACUUUAUCAUGAGAUUUGUUUAUAAAUGGUGUUGUUUGAAUGCUCAUUAUAUAUAUGUGAACAAUGGUAGCUGAAUGUUGUUGUGGUAGGAAAAGAAUUGAGAUUGAGUAAUGGUUGGAUGUGCAGGAUAUGAGAAUGACGUUAAACCCUUUAGGUUGAGUCCAAUUUACCAAUAAAUUUUUGUUCCAAUAAAUUCUGUUCCAAUAAAUUAUGUCCAAUCCGUGUCUGGUACUGGCCAAGCUGUGUUGCCUUCACCUACGGCCACUGUUAUUGGCACUAGUUCAUUGUCGUCUGACACUUCUAUCUUCAGUAACCUGCCUGCUGAUUCUAAAGGUGAUCCUCGGCGGGAUCCCCGUCGCCUUGAUCCCCGGCGUGUUGUGGUAGCUCCUGGAGGAGCAACUGUAUCAGUUACAGAUGAUAAUGGAGCCACAAAAAUUGAGUUUGAUGAAGCUGUUUCUUCAAUUAAACCUGUUUCACUUCCUGUCGUUACUGAUAAAAAAUGAUGAUAUGAUCUCUAAAGGUGCAGCUGAUCAAGUAACUCCUAAAACAGAGGUUCAGGAAAGGCCUGGAGAUUACAGAAGCAGAUACUUCCUUUGGUCCUUCAGUCUCAUCCACUGAUUUAAGAGAGGAGGAUCCGAGUUCAGUGAAUAUGUCAGAUGAAACUGAAGCAAUUGGUACAGAUUCAUCAUCUAUUUCAGAGUUUGAUCAGUUUUCUCUUGAUGUUCAAGUUGAACCCACAUUGGAAGAUACCUGUCUGGAGUUACCACAGCUUCCACCUUAUGUUGAACUAUCCAAAGAACAGCGACGUAUAGUGAAAAACAUGGUUGUUAGGCACAUAAUCAAUUCAUACAAACAUUUACAUGGAACAUAUUGUCAGGAGUUUUGGAUGCCACUACUUGCUCGACUAGUUGCUCAGAUUGAUGAUGACGAAGAGUUUAUUAUGAUGCUGCAAAAACACAUCUUGGAAGACCACUGGAUAAAGGUGUCUGCUUUUUAAAAUCUGUUGUAAUUUGUUAACAAAAUUUAUUUUUAAUUUUUUUACCUGUCACGGAUAGAGUAACCGAAAUUUGUUGAAUAUUUUUCAAUUACAGUUGUUGCUAUAAUUUGCUGAU